rnacentral:ncRNA from 1 species
UGUCGGCUUGAGUAACGAAAACAUUGGGAGCUUGACUGCAAGACUCACCCGUCGAGCAGAGACGAAAGUCGGCCUUAGUGAUCCGACGGUGCCGAGUGGAAGGGCCGUCGCUCAACG